GCCGACCAGCCUGGCCAUUAGCCCAGGGGCACCGGGCCACUAGCCGCUCGGCUCCGGGCCCCCGGCCUGCAAAGGGCCCUGCAGCCACUGACGGUCCCCCAGUGUCUCCCCAGAGGGUGAGAUCCCGGGUUGGUCGUUGACUCAGCCCCACUGACAGUCCCCCAGUGUCUCCCCAGAAGGUGAGAUCCUGGGUUGGUCGUUGACUCAGCCCCACUGACGGUCCCCCAGUGUCUCCCCAGAGGGUGAGAUCCCGGGUUGGUCGUUGACCCAGCCCCACUGACAGUCCCCCCAUGUCUCCCCAGAGGGUGAGAUCCCGGGUUGGUCGUUGACUCAGCCCCACUGACAUCCCCCCAGUGUCUCCCCAGAGGGGGAGAUCCCGGGUUGGUUGUUGACUCAGCCCCACUGACAGACGAGCCUCGU